rnacentral:lncRNA from 1 species
GGGAUUUUCCUUUUCCUCCGAAGCUGCUGAUUCAUCCCCAGGCUGGAGUCAGGCUCAGCUGUGGGGCUGGGAGCAUGGGCUCUCAGGCUGCUGCUGAGUGGAGGAACUGGGCCUCCUGGGAGGUGUCCUCCAGCCUCUCUGGAUGCUCCAUGGGGUGCUUCAAGGAUGACCGCAUCGUCUUCUGGACUUGGAUGUUCUCCACCUACUUCAUGGAGAAAUGGGCUCCCCGGCAGGACGACAUGCUUUUCUAUGUGCGCCGGAAGCUGGCGUACUCCGGCAGCGAAAGCGGUGCAGACGGGAGGAAGAUGAGGAAACGGAGGGCUCGGAGAUGAAGUGAUUCGCCUAACGUAUUUCAUCCACUAAAUCGCAGUGUGGGAGGAGCUAAUAAAAUACAUUUUGCAUG